rnacentral:rRNA from 1 species
CAGCAGCCGCGGUAAUACGUAGGGUGCAAGCGUUGUCCGGAAUUAUUGGGCGUAAAGAGCUCGUAGGCGGUUUGUCGCGUCUGCUGUGAAAUCCCGAGGCUCAACCUCGGGCUUGCAGUGGGUACGGGCAGACUAGAGUGCGGUAGGGGAGAUUGGAAUUCCUGGUGUAGCGGUGGAAUGCGCAGAUAUCAGGAGGAACACCGAUGGCGAAGGCAGAUCUCUGGGCCGUAACUGACGCUGAGGAGCGAAAGCGUGGGGAGCGAACAGGAUUAGAUACCCCUGUAGUCCCUGUCUCUUAUAC